GACGAACGCUGGCGGCGUGCCUAAUACAUGCAAGUCGAACGCUUUUUCUUUCACCGGAGCUUGCUCCACCGAAAGAAAAAGAGUGGCGAACGGGUGAGUAACAAGUGGGUAACCUGCCCAUCAGAAGGGGAUAACACUUGGAAACAGGUGCUAAUACCGUAUAACACUAUUUUCCGCAUGGAAGAAAGUUGAAAGGCGCUUUUGCGUCACUGAUGGAUGGACCCGCGGUGCAUUAGCUAGUUGGUGAGGUAACGGCUCACCAAGGUAACGAUGAAUAGCCGCCCUGGGAGGGUGAUCGGCCAGACUGGGACUGAGACACGGCCAGGACUCCGACGGGAAGUAGCAGUAGGGAAUCUUCGGCAAAGGACGAAAGUCUGACCGAGCAACGCGGCGUGAUUGAAGAAGGUUUUCGGAUCGUAAAACUCUGUUGUUAGAGAAGAACAAGGAUGAGAGUAAAACGUUCAUCCCUUGACGGUAUCUAACCAGAAAGCCACGGCUAACUACGUGCCAGCAGCCGCCGUAA
rnacentral:rRNA from 1 species